UACGAAGGGAGCUAGCGUUGUUCGGAAUCACUGGGCGUAAAGCGCACGUAGGCGGAUGUGUCAGUCAGGGGUGAAAUCCCGGAGCUCAACUUCGGAACUGCCUUUGAUACAGCACGUCUUGAGUCCGGAAGAGGUGGGUGGAAUUCCUAGUGUAGAGGUGAAAUUCGUAGAUAUUAGGAAGAACACCCGUGGCGAAGGCGGUUCUCUGGGACGGUACUGACGCUGAGACGCGAAAGCGUGGGGAGCGAACAGG
rnacentral:rRNA from 1 species